GCCAGUGUGAUGUAGUGGUUUGAGUGUUGGACUACGACUCUGGAGACCAGGGUUCGAAUCUCUGCUUGACC
rnacentral:tRNA from 1 species